ANCCGCGNUAAUACNUACGGUGCAAGCGUUGUCCGGAAUUACUGGGCGUAAAGAGUUCGUANGCGGUUUGUCGCGUCGUUUGUGAAAACCAGCAGCUCAACUGCUGGCUUGCAUGCGAUNCNGNCAGACUUGANUACUGCAGGGGAAACUGGAAUUCCUGGUGUAUCGGUGAAAUGCGCACAUAUCAGGAGGAACACCGGUGGCGAANGCGGGUCUCUGGGCAGUAACUGACGCUNAGGAACGAAAGCGUGGGUAGCGAACAGGAUUAAAUACCCUGGUAGUCCACNCCGUAAACGGUGGNCGCUAGGUGUGGGUUCCUUCCACGGAAUCCGUGCCGUAGCUAACGCAUUAAGCGCCCCGCCUGGGGAGU
rnacentral:rRNA from 1 species